AUACAAGGCAUUUUGCCAAGACUCAGAUUCAGCUGCAGUUCAAGCCUUUGCCUGCGUGGCCAAGUGGCUACGUGCAAGGUUGCCAGUAACGAUGUUCCUUGCUCUUCCAGGUUUGCUAGAGUUGCAUCUUAACAAAGGCUUUUUCAGCACAUUAGAGAUAAUUGUGUGAUUUUCCUCUUUGAAUGUAUGAAUGUGUGACCCUGCUUCAACCAACAGAAUGUUGCAGAAGUGAAGCUACGCCAGUUCUGGGCUUAAACGUCAAUCAGGCCUAGCAACUUCUCUUCUGUCUGGAUGAAGGUAGACACAGCAUAAGAACUACCUGUGACCAUGAUGCUCUGAGAAGCCAGCCUAACUAUGUGCAGAGGCCACAUGGAGGAAAACUGAGGCCUCCAGCCCACAGCCCCAGCUGAAUUUCUAGAUGCAAUCAGCACUAACCUGCCAGCUAUGAGUGAGGCCAUCUUUGAAGUGGAUCCCUCAGCCCCACUCAAGCCACCCAGAUGAUGCCAUAUGAACUGCCCCUGCCGAGCCCUGCCCAGAUUGCAGAAUCAUGAGAAAAUAAAUUAAAAAGGCUUUGUUUAAGUCAGUAAGUUUAGGGUUAAUUUUUUUGGACAGCAACAGAUAACCAAAGCAGAAUUCUAGUCUCAGCUUAAACACUUUUAGGAACAGAAGACUCCAUGCCUCGUAAAGUAAUCCAUUCUGUUUCUUAAUAGCAAUAGUUAUUAGAACAUUGUUCUCUAUAUUUAACAAAAAUCUGCCUUCCCAUCACUCACAACCUGUCUCUAUGGUAAAGUCAGUCUGUGUGCCUGCCACAUGGCAGCUCUUCCAGUUUUUUUCAAAGAGUCAUGGUCUUUAUUCACCACACCUCCAGUUCCCAUUGCACCCUGCACACCCAGGGUGCACAUGAACAAGUCUUUUCUUUCUAGACAUAAAUAUCUCCAACUCCUUCAUGUCCCGAUUCUUUCCCUAAACAGCUCAAACUCUUAUUAGUAAACCAGAUGCUACCUAGAAACACAUGUGGGACCCCCAUCACUG
rnacentral:lncRNA from 10 species